rnacentral:rRNA from 1 species
GAUGAACGCUGGCGGCGUGCCUAAUACAUGCGAGUCGAGCGAACGGACGAGAAGCUUGCUUCUCUGAUGUUAGCGGCGGACGGGUGAGUAACACGUGGAUAACCUACCUAUAAGACUGGGAUAACUUCGGGAAACCGUAGCUAAUACCGGAUAAUAUUUUGAACCGCAUGGUUCAAAAGUGAAAGACGGUCUUGCUGUCACUUAUAGAUGGAUCCGCGCUGCAUUAGCUAGUUGGUAAGGUAACGGCUUACCAAGGCAGCGAUGCAUAGCCGACCUGAGAGGGUGAUCGGCCACACUGGAACUGAGACACGGUCCAGACUCCUACGGGAGGCAGCAGUAGGGAAUCUUCCGCAAUGGGCGAAAGCCUGACGGAGCAACGCCGCGUGAGUGAUGAAGGUCUUCGGAUCGUAAAACUCUGUUAUUAGGGAAGAACAUAUGUGUAAGUAACUGUGCACAUCUUGACGGUACCUAAUCAGAAAGCCACGGCUAACUACGUG